rnacentral:rRNA from 1 species
CCUACGGGUGGCAGCAGUGAGGAAUAUUGGUCAAUGGGCGGAAGCCUGAACCAGCCAAGUCGCGUGAGGGAUUAAGGCCCUGCGGGUUGUAAACUUCUUUUAUAAAGGAAUAAAACGAGGCACGUGUGCCUUUUUGCAUGUACUUUAUGAAUAAGGAUCGGCUAACUCCGUGCCAGCAGCCGCGGUAAUACGGAGGAUCCGAGCGUUAUCCGGAUUUAUUGGGUUUAAAGGGAGCGUAGAUGGGUUGUUAAGUAAGUUGUGAAAGUUUGCGGCUCAACCGUAAAAUUGCAAUUGAUACUGGCAGUCUUGAGUACAGUUGAGGUAGGCGGAAUUCGUGGUGUAGCGGUGAAAUGCUUAGAGAUCACGAAGAACCCCGAUUGCGAAGGCAGCUUACUAAACUGUGACUGACAUUGAUGCUCGAAAGUGUGGGUAUCAAACAGGAUUAGAUACCCGAGUAGUC